UGGACGGCAGAAUUCUGUGCAUGUGGGGGUUCAACUCAUCAGAGUUUUGUUGCCUGAAAAAGAAUGGGGAAAAAGUAUCAGAUGAAGGAAGUGUGUAUUGCUAAAUAUUUACACAAUAUCAAUAUAAUUAUAGGAAGAGCUCAACUGAAAAUGAGUAGUAAGUAGUGUGGUAUUUCAUUUCUCCUGCUCUUGGUCAGUAUUCCUUUUUAAU